CUGAUUGAUAUUUUAGUCUAAGAUGCAAAUUUUUUAAUUUGUUGUUAUUGGCUUUGAACCAGCUGUAAGUCCUCUCAGAUCUGUUCUUUGUGUCUUUUUGUUGUAGGGAUGUAUAAGUACCCAUCCAUGUUCACUGGUAUUUUUUAAGAUGUAUUUUUAUUUGUAUCCAUCUGAUGAAUUAAGCCUUUUUCAACUUAUUAUUAUAGUUUGUUCUAUGUUGUACUGUCCAGGUUAAAGAAGGGUUGGCACCUAUCCCAGAUCAGGAGCCUGUAGUUCAGUGGUUGUCGUUUGUUGCUGUGUUACAUAUUUGUUUUUUGUAUUUUUUUUUUACAUUAAUUAGGACAUUCGUUUUCAUGUUUGAAUUGUUUUACAAUUCUCAUUUUGUAGUCUUUUAUAGCUGACUUUCUGGUAUGGGCUUUGCUCAUUGUUGAAGGCCCAUAUAGUUGUUAAUUACUGUGUCAUUUGGUCUCUUGUGCAGUCUUGUCUUAUCAUAUAU
rnacentral:lncRNA from 1 species